rnacentral:rRNA from 1 species
AUGGCAGAGUCGAUGCUUCUCCCUCUGGUGCGCGGCGUGGCCGUGAAGGUCGCAGAUGCACUCGUUGAGACCGUGGCCCGUAUUUGUGGCCUCGACGAUGACCGCCGAACGCUAGAGCGCCUAUUGCUAGCCGUCCAGUGCAAGCUGGCCAAUGCCGAGGAGAGGAGCAAGAAAAACAACUACAUCAAGAUUUGGAUGAAAGAGCUCAAGUCUGUCGCCUACGAGGCUGAAGACAUGCUCGAUGACUUUCAGUAUGAGGCACUACGUCGCAAGUCCAAGGUUGGCAAUUCCACUGCCCGGAAGGUACUCAGCUAUAUCACACACAACAGCCCAUUGCUUUUUCGUUUUGAGAUGAGCAAGAAACUCAAGAACAUCCUCCAGAAUAUCAGUAAGUUGGUUGAGGAGAUGAACAAGUUUGGUCUGGAGAAUUCUGUACAUAGGGAGGAGCAGCAGUAUCCUUGGCGGCAGACGCACUCAAAACUGGACAACUUUUCCAAAAUCUUUGGAAGAGAUGAUGACAAGGAGGUUGUGGUCAAGUUGUUGUUGGACCAGCAAGAUCAGCAGAGAGCACAAGUGCUGCCCAUCUUUGGGAUGGGAGGUCUUGGCAAGACGACACUUGCUAAGCUGGUGUACAAUGAUCAAGAGGUCCAACAACAUUUCCAAUUGAAGAUGUGGCACUGCGUGUCAGAUCAUUUUGAUGUUAUUACUCUCAUGAAAUCAAUAAUUGAAUUAGCCACAAAUGGAAGUUCUGCCAUGUCUGGUAGCAUUGAAUUAAUGCGGAAGAAACUUGAUGGAGUCGUCAGCCAGAAAAGGUUUUUACUUGUUCUGGAUGAUGUAUGGAAUGAAGAUAAGAGAAUGUGGGAGGAUGAGUUGAAACCAAUAUUGUGUUCUAUUGGUGGACCAGGAAGUGUUAUAGUGGUUACAUGUCGAAGCAAGCAAGUGACCUCUAUAAUGUGCACUAUCAAGCCCCAUGAGCUAGUAUUUCUGAAUGAAGAAGAUUCAUGGGAAUUGUUUUCGAGCAAAGCAUUUAGCAAUGGAGAGGAGCAAGAAGAGUUACUCACCAUCGGAAGGCGUAUUGUCAAUAAAUGCGGGGGUUUGCCUCUUGCUCUCAAGACAAUGGGUGGAUUGUUGAGUUCAAAACAAAACGUACAGGAAUGGAAGGCCAUAGAAGAAAGUGACAUUAGGCAUAAUGAUGGAGGGAAAUAUGAGGUCAUGUCCAUAUUGAAGCUAAGCUACAAAUACCUUUCAUUUGAAAUGAAGCAAUGUUUUGCAUUCUGCGCAAUUUUCCCCAAGGAUUAUGAUAUGCAGAAGGAUAUGUUGAUCCAACUGUGGAUGGCAAAUGGCUUUAUUCAUGAAGAGGAAACAAUGAAUUUAACACAGAAGGGGGAAUUCAUUUUCAAUGAGUUGUUUUGGAGGUCCUUCUUCCAAGAUAAGAAAGAGAUCAAAGUCAAUUAUGAUAAUAAAGCUAGCUUGACUAUUGCUUUUACCGCAAGACAUGGCAAAACUGAGAAAGCUCAUCCAUCUUUAUCUUUAUGGUUGUUCGUGUCUCGAAAGUAUGCCUCCAAACUUUGGUCUACUAUAAACCUUCACAUAUUGACUACAUUUGUUGUGGACACUGGAGAUGGCCUUGGAGUAGAGCAACUCAAAGACUUGCAACACCUUAGCAAUAGGUUGGAACUCAUCAAUUUGGGCAAGACAAAGAGUCGGGAGAAUGCAAAAGAAGCCAAUCUCUGUCAGAAGCAAAAUAUAACUGAGUUGUUAUUCUCUUGGGACCAACAAAUAGAUGAUGAUCCCAAAGAUGUGGAGGAAGUGCUCCAGUGUUUAGAACCUCAUAGCAAUAUCAAAAGGUUGGAGAUACGUGGAUAUGGUGGCCUUGAAGUAUCACAAUGGAUGAGAAAUCCUCAGAUGUUUAAUUGCUUGAAAGAACUUGGAAUUUCCGACUGCCCAAGAUGCAAGAGUAUACCUGUAGUAUGGCUCUCGGUCUCUCUAGAGAUUUUUUCAUUACAGAAGAUGGAUAACUUGACCACAUUAUGUAAGAUCCUCGAUGUGGAAGCUGGAGGACAUAGUAACCCUCUGCAAAUUUUCCCAAGAUUGAAGACAAUGGUCUUGAUUGAGCUACCAAGCCUGGAGAUAUGGGUAGAAAAAAAUGUAGGAGAACCCGGUGAUAGCCUGGUAACAUUCCCGAUGCUUGAAGUGUUGAGGAUCGAGAAUUGCCCCAAGAUUGCAAGUAUUCCAGUGACCCCCAUUGUCAGUGAGUUGACAAUAGUUGGAAUUCACAGUGUUGCAGCCAGUUUGGUUUUUAUGAGUAUCCAUUUGGGCUCUUGGCCAUUUCUCGUCAGGUUAACUGUUCAGUCUAAGGAAGACAUAGCCAUGUUGCCUCUAGAAGCACUGCAAAGGCCAAGUGAAAGGCCUUUUGACAAACUCAAGUAUUUGGAUCUAGUUGGCCCCUCCAAAUUGUCCAGAUUACAACUUAUACCUUGGAAAUGCUUUCCGUUCUUGGAAGAGCUGGUGAUUAAACGAUGUAGCAAUCUUGUUCAUUGGCCAACAGAUGAGCUCCGUUUCUUGGAUCACCUCCGUGUUUUGAGUAUCGUUAAUUGUGAUAAUCUGGAGGGCAGCACUUCAUCGUCUGAGGAGGAGACACUUCCGUUGUCACUAGAGGAAUUGGUGAUUAUAGACUGCCACAGUGUGGUGGCACUGCCUUCGAACCUUGGAAAUCUGGCCAAGCUGAGGAGUCUCUAUGUGAGAUGCUGCAAUGCUCUGAAAGCGCUUCCUGACGGUCGGAAUUUCUUAAAGCAUCCACAACAUGAAGCAGGCAAUGACCUGCCACCGUCUUUCCACAACCUUGAAGGAAUCAAUGGUUGUAAAAGGAAGGCUCCGCUGCGCGUGCCACGGCCAGAGCGCACGCUUGGGGCGGCGCCUCAAUGGCAGGGUCGAGAUUCGUCUGUGCCGACGGGGACGGGAGGAAGGAGGAGAGGGAGAUCCGGAUGCACGCCGUGGCAGCAGAGGCAAAUGGACAAACCAGCAAAGGAUUGUAAACAAAGUGAGUCUAUUUUCACAAUUAACUGCACGUCUUCAAAUAAGGUUGAUCCAUUCCAUGGGGCUCCCCAAAUACCGAUUGUAAACUGCUCCCGGGAUCUUCAAAUCGUGAUUUAUCUACUCAUGGCUUCCAUGAAGUACGAUUUUCCGCUGCUGGACCGUGACACAAGGUUUACCCUAUGGCAAGUCAAGAUGCGGGCGUUGUUAGCACAGUCCGACUAUGAUCUAGCACUAGAUAGUUUUGGGAAGAACCGAAUUCAAGAUUGGACUGAUGAGGAGAAAAGAAUUGAUUGUAAGGCUUUGUCACAAAUUCAACUCCAUUUGCAUAAUAAUAUUUUGCAGGAAGUUUUUAGCAAGAAAACUGCCGCCGCUCUAUGGUUAAAGCUGGAAGGGAUUUGCAUGACAAAAGAUCUCACCAGUAAGAUGCAUCUGAAGCAAAAAUUAUUCCUGCACAGGUUACCCGCGGGAGUUUAUGAAGCUUUCAACUCUAAGGAGAAGAUGAAAUUAAUGGUGCCUCAUGAUGGUUCGAGUUCAUCCCAAGCCGAGGGAUUAUCUAUUCGUGGCAGGGCAAAGGAGAAUAACUCCAAUAAUGGAAACAGAGGCAAAAUUAAGAACGGCCACAGGGGCCGGUCGCAAUCCAGAGACAAGAAGUAUUGCAGGUAUUGCAAGAGAGACGGGCAUGACAUCUCUGAGUGUUUCAAGUUGCAGAACAAGGAAAAGAGGAAAGGUAACAAACAAGGUGAAAAUUCUGCUAACGUUUCUCGUGAUGAUAGUUCUGAUGAUGCUCUUGUCGUUAUUGCUGGAUGUGCUGAGACCAAUGAUGAGUGGGUACUUGACACCGCACGCACUUUUCAUAUGUGUCCACAUAGAGAUUGGUUUAAUACCUUUGAUUUCACUACUGCUGCUGGUUCCGUUUUGGGUUUUGAUAAUUCACCAUGCAAGAUUGAAGGCAUAGGUCCUAUUCGAAUCAAGAUGUUUGAUGGCAUAAUCAGAACAUUGACAGAUGUUCGGUGUAUUCCGAAGAUGAAGAGAAAUCUUAUUUCUAUGAGUGCCCUCGAUGCAAAGGGAUACAAUGUUCCCGUUGAGAGUGAACAACAACCUAUUGUUCAGGAGCCUACUGUUCAGGUGGAGCAUGUUAUUGAUUCAGGUGAUACAUCUGGUUAUGAAAUUGUAGAUGCACGUGAUGAACCCGUCGUUAAUGAUCAUAAUAUCACCCCCACUCCAAAUCAGCCUAUUGUUCCACCUAGUUGGAAUCUUGCACGUGACAGAGUUAGGCGGGGUAUUAAUAAACCUGACAUGUUAAUUGAGGAGUGCAAUAUUGUUUCUUUUGCUUUAUCCGUUGCAGAAGAAAUUGAAGGUGUUUAUGGUGAUUUGGAUGCAGUUAUCUACUUUCUUCGACUACUGGAGGGAUUUUGGAUCAAGGUGGAGAUUGUUAAAUUGUGA